rnacentral:snoRNA from 1 species
AAGCAGGAUAUGUUACAGUGCAGCUUGUUCAGUGCUGUUAUGUCGUUCCCCCUGCACACAUCAACUAGUUUCCUACUAUCCCUGUCUGUCUUGCAUCCCACAGCUGGCAGGGACGCUUGAUCUCAGACAC